UAACACGUAGGGUGCAAGCGUUGUCCGGAAUCAUUGGGCGUAAAGAGCUCGUAGGCGGCUUAGUAAGUCGGGUGUGAAACCUCCAGGCUCAACCUGGAGACGCCACCCGAUACUGCUAUAGCUAGAGUCCAGUAGGGGAGUGCGGAAUUCCCGGUGUAGCGGUGAAAUGCGCAGAUAUCGGGAGGAACACCAGCGGCGAAGGCGGCACUCUGGGCUGGUACUGACGCUCAGGAGCGAAAGCGUGGGUAGCGAACAGGAUUAGAUACCCUGGUAGUCCACGCCGUAAACGUUGGGCACUAGGUGUGGGGUCUAUUCAACGGACUCCGUGCCGUAGCUAACGCAUUAAGUGCCCCGCCUGGGGAGUACGGCCGCAAGGCUA
rnacentral:rRNA from 1 species